CAAUAGCGUAUAUUUAAGUUGUUGCAGUUAAAAAGCUCGUAGUCGGAUUUUGGCUGAGAACGAUCGGUCCGCCGUUAGGUGUGCACUGAUUGGUCUCAGCUUCCUGGUGAGGAGGUGUGCUUCACGGCCACUUAGACACCGUGGUUACUUUGAAAAAAUUAGAGUGUUCAAAGCGGGCUUACGCUUGAAUAUAUUAGCAUGGAAUAACACCAUAGGACUCCUGUCCUAUUUCGUUGGUCACGGGACGGGAGUAAUGAUUAAGAGGAACAGUUGGGGGCAUUCGUAUUUCAUUGUCAGAGGUGAAAUUCUUGGAUUUAUGAAAGACGAACUUCUGCGAAAGCAUUUGCCAAGGAUGUUUUCAUUGA
rnacentral:rRNA from 1 species